AACGUAGGAGACAAACGUUAUCCGGAGUUACUGGGCGUAAAGGGCGUGUAGGUGGUUUCGUAAGUCUGGCGUGAAAUUUUUCGGCUUAACCGGGAAAGGUCGUCGGAUACUGCGGAACUAGAGGACGGUAGAGGCGUGUGGAAUUCCGGGUGUAGUGGUGAAAUGCGUAGAGAUCCGGAGGAACACCAGUGGCGAAGGCGACACGCUGGGCCGUACCUGACACUGAUGCGC
rnacentral:rRNA from 1 species